rnacentral:snRNA from 1 species
AUCAGCAUUCUAUUUGUCACGUCUUUUGUUCAAAUAUUGUUUAGGUUUUAGUUAUGCUAUUACUUAUUCAAUAUUAUUUAAUUCUUUCAAAUACUUAUUGGCGUAUACCCAAGAAUGCUAUACUAAUUAUUAUACUUCAAGAUUAUAUACUUCUUCCUUUAAUUAGGAAGUAGAAAGAAUUGCUUUCUAGUAAUCUCUUUCUUGUUAUCUUGAAACACAUUU